AGGAUGAACGCUGGCGGGGUGCCUAACACAUGCAAGUCGAGCGGCAGCGCGAAGAAUUUAUUCUUUGGCGGCGAGCGGCGGACGGCUGAGUAACGCGUGGGAACAUGCCCAAAGUGAGGGAUAAGCAUCGGAAACGGUGUCUAAUACCGCAUAUGAUCUUCGGAUUAAAGGAUUUAUCCGCUUUGGGAAUGGCCUGCGUACGAUUAGAUAGUUGGUGAGGUAAAGGCUCACCAAGUCUACGAUCGUUAACUGGUUUGAGAGGAUGAUCAGUCAGACUGGAACUGAGACACGGUCCAGACUCCUACGGUAGGCAGCAGUGAGGAAUCUUCCACAAUGGACGAAAGUCUGAUGGAGCAACUCCGCGUGCAGGAUGAAAGGCCUUCGGGUCGUAAACUGCUUUAUGAGUGAAGAAUAAUGACGGUAACUCAUGAAUAAGGGUCGGCUAACUACGUGCCAGUAGCCGCGGU
rnacentral:rRNA from 1 species